rnacentral:rRNA from 1 species
AGUGAACGCUGGCGGCGUGCUUAACACAUGCAAGUCGAACGGUAACAGGAACUAGCUUGCUAGUUUGCUGACGAGUGGCGCACGGGUGAGUAAUAUAUAGUUAAUGUACCCCAAAGACUGGGAUAGCCACUGGAAACGGUGAUUAAUACUAGAUACACCUCUUUAACAUAAGUUAGAGAGGGAAAUGUCUUUUCGCUUUGGGAUCAGACUAUAUCCUAUCAGUUAGUUGGUGAGGUAAUGGCUCACCAAGGCAAUGACGGGUAGCGGGUUUGAGAGGAUGAUCCGCCACACUGGUACUGAGACACGGACCAGACUCCUACGGGAGGCAGCAGUGAGGAAUAUUGCACAAUGGGGGGAACCCUGAUGCAGCAACGCCGCGUGGAGGAUGACGCAUUUCGGUGUGUAAACUCCUUUUAUAUGUCAAGAAAAUGACGGUAGCAUAUGAAUAAGCACCGGCUAACUCCGUGCCAGCAGCCGCGGUAAAGUAUCG